GACGAACGCUGGCGGCGUGCUUAACACAUGCAAGUCGAACGGAAAGGCCCUGCUUUUGUGGGGUGCUCGAGUGGCGAACGGGUGAGUAACACGUGAGUAACCUGCCCUUGACUUUGGGAUAACUUCAGGAAACUGGGGCUAAUACCGGAUAGGAGCUCCUGCUGCAUGGUGGGGGUUGGAAAGUUUCGGCGGUUGGGGAUGGACUCGCGGCUUAUCAGCUUGUUGGUGGGGUAGUGGCUUACCAAGGCUUUGACGGGUAGCCGGCCUGAGAGGGUGAACGGCCACAUUGGGACUGAGAUACGGCCCAGAAUCCUACGGGAGGCAGCAGUGGGGAAUAUUGCACAAUGGGCGGAAGCCUGAUGCAGAAACGCCGCGUGCGGGAUGACGGCCUUCGGGUUGUAAACCGCUUUCGCCUGUGACGAAGCGGGAGUGACGGUAAUGGGUAAAGAAGCACCGGCUAACUACGUG
rnacentral:rRNA from 1 species